UGCUCUGCCCCAGCUCCGUCCAUCAGGGAGGACAGAUGACGGAGCGAACCGUCCCCUAGUGGGGCUCCACCGCCCCUCUGCGCGAACUGCGCGUCCGGAGAUUCAGGACCAGGGAACCCAGCGUUUUGCGCCCCCUUGUCCCCAACCGAGGGGUCCCAAGCGCCGAUCAUGGCCCACGAAGGAAGGCACGCCCACAGUGCUUGUCUCUUGCCAGAAAUCUGGGGUCUCUCCGCGGGCACCUGAGGUUGAUUUCAGAGCAAUUUGGGGUUUCAGGUAGAGACUGAGGGACUCAGAGGGGCAGGCGUCUGGGGGAGGUGGGUGCGAGUUCUCCUGGACAGAACUGAACUGCCCCCUCUCCGUAGCAGAACGGCACAGACUCUUGGAGCGGAGGGAAGUUAACCGGCACGUAGCACAGCGCCUAGAAAGUUCCAGAGGAGAUCAGCUGAACCAAGAGGUCACCAUUCGAUGGACAGAGACUUCACACACCACAGCCAUAUGUACCUGGGACCCUUCAUGAGAGGAAGGAUCCAAACGAACGCUGAUGAACUCCAAACCUUUCCUCCUUGGAAAGAUGGAUCAGGCCUUUUGUGAUGAGGCCUCAGAGGUCACAGAGUGUAACUUCUACCAGAACCACACGUCUGCCCAAGAUCAAGGACGGGAAGCCAGGCCCACGCCGCGGGAUAACGAGAGCCCCGUGUCACAGUGAGGUUAUGUGGACGGCGUCCUUGCAGGCAUUUUUGGUAAAUGCAAUCCAUAGUGGGUCUCACCCCGCAUCUGAGGCGCACGCUUAUAACACUAAUACCUUCGAGGGAAGUAGCCUGUUCAAUAUGAGGCGGAAGAAACUGUCGGGUUUUGAACUGGGAGCAGGAAAACUUGGAAGGAGCUCGGGCAACUUGGCUGCAUUUCCUGGUCUCCCCGGAGCCAUCGUCUCUGUCUCUGGAAAAUAUUUACCUUCGGCGGAGGAGGCGGCUCAGUCGUGGACGGGGAUGGUGAGGUCCCCACCUCUCUCUCGGAGGGAGGACGGAUUUCAGAGGGAGCCGGUAACCCCGCUCGGCAAUGAGCUGCCCGGGCCGUAGGAAACCUAAUGGGACAGAACACAGUCUAAUUUUUUGGGAGAGCCGCACAGCCUCCCUGCGAUUUUGCAUCCAAUAAGAGUUCCCAUCUGGGGCUCCCUCGCGGGCCGUUCGAAACUCCCGUGUAAGAGGCAGCUCUGUACAACCAGGCUCGCCUUGGCAUGGGGACGGGCUGCGUCUGGGCAGGUGAGGCUGCCUGCUCAUGAGAUGCUGGGGCCGCCCUGACGUUGCUGUCCCGCUGACUUGCCAAGGAGGGAAGGCACCGGGUGCCCCUAACAGGGUCCCGCACGGUCGGCGGAGGUCUCUGCUACAAGGUGAUGCCGGAUUGCUGCAGAGACAGCGAGGUGCCAACAUUAAAUAGAUACAGACUCCCGCCCAGGCCCGCCUGGCCAAAAGGAUGACAAUUUGGGGAUUCUCGUUACUAACACACGGCUUGAGAAACGACGCAUGGCCACCGUGGGACGGAUUGGCUUCCGGACGCACUCUUUGGUGUUCUUUGCUUAGUUCCUUUAUUACCUGUGUUUAUUGUCUAGUAAAAGGUUUGAAAUUAGAAAAAAAAGAAUCCCGAGAAAGGACAACGUUACAAUAGGAUAAAUCCUUCGAAGCGAAUGUAGAUCAACAAAGUCAACACCGGAAAUUUGCUUUUCCAAACGACACCGGGGCUGAAAUGGACUUGAACCCAGGCGUCUCCAGACCCAAGGUCAACGUUGCCUCCUCUGCCUCCUGUUGAGUCUGUGAUGAACCCACGUGCUUAAUUGUCGGUCAGCGGCAUUCCAAAGGUCCUGGGGAAGAUAUCCUGCCACUGAGAUGUCCCCCGGGAUUGGGCAUGAUCACUGAUGGAGAGACUCCUCUCCGUGCCUGCCCCAGGCUCAUGGGAACCAACCGGUAUAUCACUCCUUCUGGCUCAGUCCAUGACCCUGAGUCCGUCCGUGACCCUGAGUCCAAAUCCACUUGGAGAGAGAUGGAGACAGAAAAGGAGACAGUGCAAAGUCCUAGAUUCUCAGAACACUGAGGAUCCCCCAGUGGGACGAGCAAACUCUGAUGUGGUCAAUGCCUCCCUGGGACUUUGCAGCAGGAAUACUGAUGACGAUGGAAAAUUGUAUGCUGACAGCCACUGGGAAUAUUUUGAGCCAGGCUGCGACGUUUAAAUUGAAUGCGAUCUCUAAACAUAGCACAUCGAUGUCCCCAAACCAAAGCGGCCCCAUCUGUAGCAGAAACAGCAACCUCUGCUUAAUGACGCUUAAGCAGGAGCACUGCCAGAACGAGCCUGCCUCGAGCGCACAGCCACUCCGUCACUGGUUGCUUCCAAACGCUGCAAGCAGAGGGUGGCCGAGGUGAGCAGCAGACCCUCUAGCCUGGGGUGAUGUCUGGAAACCCGGCUGUUCGAUCCUGAAUGGAGACAUCUGGUCCAGUGUUAGCUUGACCAUUACCUGUCCCCAGGCAGGGCAGUUUGAAGAGGUAGCUAUGCCAGAGGACGGGCAGGAGGAGAUGCACCAGACCACCGUGCGUACAGACAGUGCUCCUGAUGUGGGCAGACCUGGGUUCGAACCCCUGCGUUACCGCUGUGCGACCUUGGUCAAAUCUCCGAGCCUCUCUGAGCCUCUGUUUCCCCAGCUGCCAAGUGGAGGUGACUGUGCUGGGAGAAUAAAGAGGGAGCAGAGCCCUGCGUGUAGUCAACGCGAGAUAGUAAGAGUUACAGCAGCACCAGCUGUAAGAUCUGGUAAAAGUGAAUCCGCAUUACCCUCUGGGAAAAACUAACUGAAUCCCAGAUGCUGCGGCAUCGUACAGAUGCGACAGUGCCCCCUCCAGGGUUCGUCGUGAUGAUCGCUCACCUGGUGAACAGGUGCCGAUGGGGACGCUGAGGCUCGGAGCUGAAAUGACUUGCCAAGGUCAGAUGGCGACACGAGCAUCCACUUUCCGGCUGCUCUAUGGUUCCCUGCACCCCAACCGGCACUCUGUACCCCUCCUUGUCCUCCAAAUGUCCCCCCGACCCCAGCAAUUGCAAUUCAAAGGCUGAGAGUUCACAGACUGUCUGAUUGGGAUGGAGACCAUCUAAGCAAUUGGACCCCCCCUAGUCCUGGGUCAUUAUCUUGCUCUUCCCGGAGUUGGGGGUGGAUUUGCUGACCUUCACUCAGCCAGCCAGGAGCUGAACGGCCAGAUCACUCACUUCGCCAGAGUCCUGGCUCUUUCCUGCAUCACAUUUGCCUCCCAGUGGGGAGGAGGGCGACCUCUGUUAGGAGGUCUUUGCUGCGUUUAGUGCCACAGACAGUUGUCCUCAGGGGCAGGACGCACACCUCACUGUCAGCGGCUGAGCUCUGUCAUCUCACACGAGGAACAAUUAGGCAUCGUUUGGACAGAAGCCGUUUGCAUUUUCUCCAGAAGGCUUAUUCUCAUUUUACUACCAGUAUAUUGUUCUCCCCUCCCAGGCGGUGACUCAUGGCUCUGUCGUUUCUAUGUGAGUUCCAGCUGGAAGGACAUCAUUUGUAGCUCUCGUGACAAACGGCCAACAUAGCAAAAUGGAUGGAUGGCGAGCUGGUGCGUGAGCAACGAUGGUCAACAUCCUUAGUAAUCAGAGCAAUGGAAAUUAAAACUGUAAGGGAUACCUUUACACGCCCAUCGGAAUAGGUAUAAUUUAAGAAAAGAAUCCACCUUUUCAAGUGUAGGAGAGGAUGUGGAGAAACAGGAA